AUGCUGCAUCAGUACAGCGACGCCAUCUCACAACAAAUGGUGGCGCCUGCUGGCGAUGUCAGCUAGA
rnacentral:snoRNA from 1 species